AUUGAACGCUGGCGGCAUGCUUUACACAUGCAAGUCGAACGGCAGCGCGGGCUUCGGCCUGGCGGCGAGUGGCGAACGGGUGAGUAAUACAUCGGAACGUGCCCAGUAGUGGGGGAUAGCACGGCGAAAGCAGGAUUAAUACCGCAUACGACCUGAGGGUGAAAGCGGGGGAUCUUCGGACCUCGCGGUAUUUGAGCGGCCGAUGGCAGAUUAGCUAGUUGGUGGGGUAAAGGCCUACCAAGGCGACGAUCUGUAGCUGGUCUGAGAGGACGACCAGCCACACUGGGACUGAGACACGGCCCAGACUCCUACGGGAGGCAGCAGUGGGGAAUUUUGGACAAUGGGCGAAAGCCUGAUCCAGCAAUGCCGCGUGUGUGAUGAAGGCCUUCGGGUUGUAAAGCACUUUUGGCGGGAACGAAAAUGACUGUGCCAAUACCACGGUUCGAUGACGGUACCCGCAGAAUAAGCACCGGCUAACUACGUG
rnacentral:rRNA from 1 species